UCGACCGCGACCCCAGGUCAGGCGGACUACCCCUUUUUGGAUUG
rnacentral:rRNA from 1 species